rnacentral:siRNA from 1 species
CAUUUUGUUGGUCUGCCGGCGU